rnacentral:rRNA from 1 species
ACGGGGGGUGCAAGCGUUGUUCGGAAUUAUUGGGCGUAAAGCGCGUGUAGGCGGUUUGUUAAGUCUGAUGUGAAAGCCCCGGGCUCAACCUGGGAAGUGCAUUGGAAAAUGGCAGACUUGAAUACGGGAGAGGGUAGUGGAAUUCCUGGUGUAGGGGUGAAUUGCGUAAAUAUCAGGAUGAACACCGGUGGCUAAGGAGGCUACCUGGACGGAUAUUGAAGCUGAGAUGCGAAAGAGUAGAUAGGAAACUG